rnacentral:rRNA from 1 species
UACAGAGGUCCCAAGCGUUUGUUCGGAUUCACUGGGCGUAAAGGGUGCGUAGGCGGUCGGGGUAAGUCUGAUGUGAAAAUCUCACAGCUUAACUGUGAAACUGCAUUGGAUACUAUCCGGCUCGAGGAAUGGAGGGGGAGACUGGAAUACUUGGUGUAGCAGUGAAAAUGCGUAGAUAUUCAAGUGGAACACCAGUGGCGAAGGCGAGUCUCUGGACAUUUUCCUGACGUGAGGCAACGAAAGCCCAGGGGGAGCAAAACGGGG